GAAAGGCCUUAUGGCGAGGAUGGGUGUGUGAACCGGGUCAGAUUGGGAACGAAGCAGCCCUAAGCAUUACCUGUCUUGUGCCGUAAGUAAACUUGCAUAU
rnacentral:SRP_RNA from 1 species